GGGUUGUGAGGUUAAGCGACUAAGCGUACACGGUGGAUGCCCUGGCAGUCAGAGGCGAUGAAGGACGUGCUAAUCUGCGAUAAGCGUCGGUAAGGUGAUAUGAACCGUUAUAACCGGCGAUUUCCGAAUGGGGGAAACCCAGUGUGUUUCGACACACUAUCAUUAACUGAAUCCAUAGGUUAAUGAGGCGAACUCUAGGGAACUGAAACAUCUAAGUACCCCGAGGAAAAGAAAUCAACCGAGAUUCCCCCAGUAGCGGCGAGCGAACGGGGAGCAGCCCAGAGCCUGAAUCAGUGUGUGUGUUAGUGGAAGCGUCUGGAAAGGCGCGCGAUACAGGGUGACAGCCCCGUACACAAAAAUGCACAUGCUGUGAGCUCGAUGAGUAGGGCGGGACACGUGGUAUCCUGUCUGAAUAUGGGGGGACCAUCCUCCAAGGCUAAAUACUCCUGACUGACCGAUAGUGAACCAGUACCGUGAGGGAAAGGCGAAAAGAACCCCGGCGAGGGGAGUGAAAAAGAACCUGAAACCGUGUACGUACAAGCAGUGGGAGCACGCUUAGGCGUGUGACUGCGUACCUUUUGUAUAAUGGGUCAGCGACUUAUAUUCUGUAGCAAGGUUAACCGAAUAGGGGAGCCGAAGGGAAACCGAGUCUUAACUGGGCGUUAAGUUGCAGGGUAUAGACCCGAAACCCGGUGAUCUAGCCAUGGGCAGGUUGAAGGUUGGGUAACACUAACUGGAGGACCGAACCGACUAAUGUUGAAAAAUUAGCGGAUGACUUGUGGCUGGGGGUGAAAGGCCAAUCAAACCGGGAGAUAGCUGGUUCUCCCCGAAAGCUAUUUAGGUAGCGCCUCGUGAAUUCAUCUCCGGGGGUAGAGCACUGUUUCGGCAAGGGGGUCAUCCCGACUUACCAACCCGAUGCAAACUGCGAAUACCGGAGAAUGUUAUCACGGGAGACACACGGCGGGUGCUAACGUCCGUCGUGAAGAGGGAAACAACCCAGACCGCCAGCUAAGGUCCCAAAGUCAUGGUUAAGUGGGAAACGAUGUGGGAAGGCCCAGACAGCCAGGAUGUUGGCUUAGAAGCAGCCAUCAUUUAAAGAAAGCGUAAUAGCUCACUGGUCGAGUCGGCCUGCGCGGAAGAUGUAACGGGGCUAAACCAUGCACCGAAGCUGCGGCAGCGACGCUUAUGCGUUGUUGGGUAGGGGAGCGUUCUGUAAGCCUGUGAAGGUGUGCUGUGAGGCAUGCUGGAGGUAUCAGAAGUGCGAAUGCUGACAUAAGUAACGAUAAAGCGGGUGAAAAGCCCGCUCGCCGGAAGACCAAGGGUUCCUGUCCAACGUUAAUCGGGGCAGGGUGAGUCGACCCUAAGGCGAGGCCGAAAGGCGUAGUCGAUGGGAAACAGGUUAAUAUUCCUGUACUUGGUGUUACUGCGAAGGGGGGACGGAGAAGGCUAUGUUGGCCGGGCGACGGUUGUCCCGGUUUAAGCGUGUAGGCUGGUUUUCCAGGCAAAUCCGGAAAAUCAAGGCUGAGGCGUGAUGACGAGGCACUACGGUGCUGAAGCAACAAAUGCCCUGCUUCGGGGGAAAAGCCUCUAAGCAUCAGGUAACAUCAAAUCGUACCCCAAACCGACACAGGUGGUCAGGUAGAGAAUACCAAGGCGCUUGAGAGAACUCGGGUGAAGGAACUAGGCAAAAUGGUGCCGUAACUUCGGGAGAAGGCACGCUGAUAUGUAGGUGAAGUCCCUCGCGGAUGGAGCUGAAAUCAGUCGAAGAUACCAGCUGGCUGCAACUGUUUAUUAAAAACACAGCACUGUGCAAACACGAAAGUGGACGUAUACGGUGUGACGCCUGCCCGGUGCCGGAAGGUUAAUUGAUGGGGUUAGCCGCAAGGCGAAGCUCUUGAUCGAAGCCCCGGUAAACGGCGGCCGUAACUAUAACGGUCCUAAGGUAGCGAAAUUCCUUGUCGGGUAAGUUCCGACCUGCACGAAUGGCGUAAUGAUGGCCAGGCUGUCUCCACCCGAGACUCAGUGAAAUUGAACUCGCUGUGAAGAUGCAGUGUACCCGCGGCAAGACGGAAAGACCCCGUGAACCUUUACUAUAGCUUGACACUGAACAUUGAGCCUUGAUGUGUAGGAUAGGUGGGAGGCUUUGAAGUGUGGACGCCAGUCUGCAUGGAGCCGACCUUGAAAUACCACCCUUUAAUGUUUGAUGUUCUAACGUUGACCCGUAAUCCGGGUUGCGGACAGUGUCUGGUGGGUAGUUUGACUGGGGCGGUCUCCUCCCUAAAGAGUAACGGAGGAGCACGAAGGUUGGCUAAUCCUGGUCGGACAUCAGGAGGUUAGUGCAAUGGCAUAAGCCAGCUUGACUGCGAGCGUGACGGCGCGAGCAGGUGCGAAAGCAGGUCAUAGUGAUCCGGUGGUUCUGAAUGGAAGGGCCAUCGCUCAACGGAUAAAAGGUACUCCGGGGAUAACAGGCUGAUACCGCCCAAGAGUUCAUAUCGACGGCGGUGUUUGGCACCUCGAUGUCGGCUCAUCACAUCCUGGGGCUGAAGUAGGUCCCAAAGGGUAUGGCUGUUCGCCAUUUAAAGUGGUACGCGAGCUGGGUUUAGAACGUCGUGAGACAGUUCGGUCCCUAUCUGCCGUGGGCGCUGGAGAACUGAGGGGGGCUGCUCCUAGUACGAGAGGACCGGAGUGGACGCAUCACUGGUGUUCGGGUUGUCAUGCCAAUGGCACUGCCCGGUAGCUAAAUGCGGAAGAGAUAAGUGCUGAAAGCAUCUAAGCACGAAACUUGCCCCGAGAUGAGUUCUCCCUGACUCCUUGAGAGUCCUGAAGGAACGUUGAAGACGACGACGUUGAUAGGCCGGGUGUGUAAGCGCAGCGAUGCGUUGAGCUAACCGGUACUAAUGAACCGUGAGGCUUAACCUUACAACGCCGAAGCUGUU
rnacentral:rRNA from 1 species